AGUGGAUGGGGAGCAACCUAGUUGUGCGUGUGUAAAGGUAGUGCCAAGAAAAGCGGUGAUCAUGAUGAAAAUCAAUUCCCGGUACCCGAAACCGACACAGGUGGGCAAGUAGAGAAUACUAAGGGGCGCGAGGUAACUCUCUCCAAGGAACUCGGCAAAAUGACCCCGUAACUUAGGGAGAAGGGGUGCCACCGAGAGGUGGUCGCAGUGAAGAGGCCCAGGCGACUGUUUAGCAAAAACAUAGGUCUCUGCAAACUCGAAAGAGGAGGUAUAGGGGCUGACGCCUGCCCAGUGCCGGAAGGUUAAAGAAGUUGGUCAGUCUUAGGAUAAAGCUAGCGACUGAAGCCCCGGUGAACGGCGGCCGUAACUAUAACGGUCCUAAGGUAGCGAAAUUCCUUGUCGGGUAAGUUCCGACCCGCACGAAAGGCGUAACGAUCUGGGCGCUGUCUCGGAGAGAGGCUCGGCAAAAUAGGAUUGUCUGUGAAGAUACGGACUACCUGCAUUUGGACAGAAAGACCCUAUGAAGCUUUACUAUAGCUUGGAAUUGUGUUCGGGCUUCCUGUGCGCAGGAUAGGUGGGAGGCGAAGAAGGUAUUCUUGUGGGGAUACUGGAGCCAACGGUGAGAUACCACUCUCAGGAGGCUAGAAUUCUAACUUAAUUAAGGACAGUUUCAGGUGGGUAGUUUGACUGGGGCGGUCGCCUCCAAAAAGGUAACGGAGGCGUACAAAGGUUCCCUCAGACUGGUUGGAAAUCAGUCGCAGAGUGCAAAGGCAGAAGGGAGCUUGACUGCGAGAAGUACAGUUCGAGCAGGGUGGAAACACGGUCUUAGUGAUCCGACGGUGCUGCGUGGAAGGGCCGUCGCUCAACGGAUAAAAGUUACUCUAGGAUGACAGGCUGAUCUCCCCCAAGAGUUCACAUCGACGGGGAGGUUUGGCACCUCGAUGUCGGCUCAUCGCAACCUGGGGCGGAAGUACGUCCCAAGGGUUGGGCUGUUCGCCCAUUAAAGCGGUACGUGAGCUGGGUUCAGAACGUCGUGAGACAGUUCGGUCCAUAUCCGAUGUAGGCGUGAGAAUAUUGAGAGGAGCCUUCCUUAUUACGAGAGGACCGGGAAGGACGCACCGCUGGUGUACCUGUUAUGGUGCCAAUUGUAAACGCAGGGUAGCCAAGUGCGGAGAGGAUAACCGCUGAAAGCAUCUAAGUGGGAAGCCCACCUCAAGAUGAGUAUUCUGGUGUAAGGUCACGGGAAGACGACCCGUAAAUAGGCACGAGGUGGAAGUGCAGAGAUGUAUGAAGCCGAAGUGUACUAAUAGACCGUCGGCUUGACCG
rnacentral:rRNA from 1 species